rnacentral:rRNA from 1 species
UACGGAGGGUGCAAGCAUUGAUCGGAAUUACUGGGCGUAAAGGGCGCGUAGGCGGCCAUGAAAGUCAGAUGUGAAAUUCCGGGGCUCAACCCCGGAGCUGCAUUUGAAACUCCAUGGCUAGAGUACAGUUAGGGAAAACGGAAUUCCACGUGUAGCGGUGAAAUGCGUAGAUAUGUGGAAGAACACCGGUGGUGAAGACGGUUUUCUGGGCUGAAACUGACGCUGAGGCGCGAAAGCUAGGGGAGCAAACAGG